rnacentral:rRNA from 1 species
CCUACGGGGGGCAGCAGUGGGGAAUAUUGCACAAUGGGCGAAAGCCUGAUGCAGCAACGCCGCGUGAGCGAUGAAGGCCUUCGGGUCGUAAAGCUCUGUCCUCAAGGAAGAUAAUGACGGUACUUGAGGAGGAAGCCCCGGCUAACUACGUGCCAGCAGCCGCGGUAAUACGUAGGGUGCGAGCGUUAUCCGGAUUUAUUGGGCGUAAAGCGCGUCUAGGCGGUUUAGUAAGUCUGAUGUGAAAAUGCGGGGCUCAACCCCGUAUUGCGUUGGAAACUGCUAAACUAGAGUACUGGAGAGGUAGGCGGAACUACAAGUGUAGAGGUGAAAUUCGUAGAUAUUUGUAGGAAUGCCGAUGGGGAAGCCAGCCUACUGGACAGAUACUGACGCUAAAGCGCGAAAGCGUGGGUAGCAAACAGGAUUA